GUAAAACAAUACCACCCUCGUUGUAAGACGGGUCCGGAAAGCCAACGGGUCUCACCAGUAUAUCGAGACGGCCGGGUUGCCUCC
rnacentral:ncRNA from 1 species